GGGAGGUAGUGACAAUAAAUAACAAUACAGGGCCCUUACGGGUCUUGUAAUUGGAAUGAGUACAAUUUAAAUCUCUUAACGAGGAACAAUUGGAGGGCAAGUCUGGUGCCAGCAGCCGCGGUAAUUCCAGCUCCAAUAGCGUAUAUUAAAGUUGUUGCAGUUAAAAAGCUCGUAGUUGAAUUUUGGGUCUGGCCGGGCGGUCCGCCCUCUGGGUGAGCACUGUUCCGACGCCGGGCCUAUCCUUCUGGUGAGUCGGCAUGUCCUUUGUUGGGUGUGUCGGGGAACCAGGACCAUUACCUUGAAAAAUUA
rnacentral:rRNA from 1 species